GUGCUGAUGGUGGUGGGGUCGGCGCACGCGCCGUUGCCGGGUAUCGGGCAGAGCGAGCGAGCAAGAGGGAUAAGUAGCGGACAUAUGAUGCUCAUGCCAUGCGGUGCAGGUUAUAUUUAAAGAUGGAUAAUUAGAAUGGAUGGAAAAAAAAUUAGAUGGAGAUACUAUAGAGCUCAAAUGAUUUAUAGUUUUUGAAAUAUAUUUUGAAAAUAAUAUUUUAAUACGAGUGAUUUUUGAAUGUGAAUUUUUGGGAUGUUACAGGAUUAGAGCAGCCAAAGUCCGUUUCAUCCUUCCAAAGGCAGCCCCGAAGCACGCUCUCAAUGCUUUUGAGACACCUCCUAAGCGUCGCAAGACUAUAGUAGAUAUUGAUGAGGACGUUCGCAUGCUAGACAGAGUUAUCAUAGACCUCCAGUCCUCAGUUAAUUCCAUCACUAGGCAGCUCUCUAACCACAACACCGCUAUACUAGGCCUUAGGCAGGAUCUUGCCAGCGCCAAUAAGAAGAUAAGGAAUUAGAGCGCCACUAAGUUAUCUAGAUUAGAUCUUGAGGCAAUGCAUCUUAGUUAUCUAUCUUUCAAUGCGGUUUAGGUUUACUAUUAUCGUCAGUUUGCUACUAUUAUCGUCAGUUUGCUACUAGUCAUUUGUAAUAAAUGCCUCAAGAUUAACAAAGAGUAUUAUUAUUAUGUCUUGUGUGUCUCUACUUUAUUUUUGUGCAAGAAAGCAGAAAACAAGUAUGGGGGAGAUCCCUCGACCUGCCAAACACACUUCGACUACACCACUCCACGAUUUAGGUACACACUCUGCACACUUAUUUUACACAUACUCAUAUAUAUCUUAGAUUAUGCAGAAUAUUGCCUCCGACAUGAUAAAUUAAAAAGAUUAAAAUGUUACUAAUCAUGAUAUCUCCUGGAAACUACAAAUUAUUGAAAAUCAUUUUUAAACCCUGUGCUACUUAAGUCAUUGUGGAAUGUGAGAUGGUAUAGUAUGAGUUUCUUAUUCUUGAUAUCAUUGUUGCUUGGAGAAUUUAUUCAAAAUUCUAGCUACCAUCCUCAGUGUUUUAUAUGCCUGAUGAAACUAAAAAAUAUUAAUUAUGAUUAUAAAAGCUAUCUAUUCUGUAUUGAGUUUGUUUAAAAUGAGUUAGACCCUUGUUGAGAGAUUUAUCAUGCUCCUAAGAUCAAGACAUUAUUCAGAAAGAUUCACUCUUCCGAAGUAUUAUUGAAUUAGAGGCAUGGGCUAUGCAAAAAUAAAGAUAUUUCGAGGAAAUAAAAAGGAGCAAGUGCUCGAUAACCUCGUAGAAAAAAAAAAUGGACAAAUGUCCAGCAGUAGAAUUAGGGGUACCUCGGUAUCCACUUAAAAAAAGAGAAGAAAAAGAAAAUAAUAGCCCAUGGUCCCUCUAAUAAGCAAUAUGCCAGCAAGAGUUGACAAAGAUUUUUAAUUUCUAAAGUCUUUGAUCUAAGAGUAUGACAUUCUUCUACUCGGAUCCCGUUUUGAUCAGGAAAUAAAUGCAAAUUAAGUAUGCUUAAGAAUUUUUGCAAAUUAAAAUAGCCUCAGUAAGAUAUAAAAGAUAAUGAGUGAUCUAAGAGAACCUAUGAGGAUAAAAAGUAUGCUAACUUUCUUUUUAAAAAUAUACAAAAACUCCAAGUGACAGGAUUGAGAAGAAAGGAUCUUUACUCUUAACCAUAUACUUCCCUGACUAUAGUACACAGUGGAUUUUAACACCAUGCAGUUAUGAAGAGAAUGUUUUAAAAUGUUUUACCCCAGAUAUUGUUCUUAACCAUCCUUUUCUCGAGGACGAGUAAAAGCCUAAGUAUUGGGGUAUUUGUUGACGGUUCUUAAGUAUCAAUUUUAAUUAUCAAAUAAACAAGAGAAAGGACCAAUAUGCAAACAACACCUAGAAUUAGGGUUUGAACUGACAGAAUUCCACGAGUUUUGUUGUUUAUCUAUUUCUGCAGGGGGUUACCAGGAAAUAAGGAAGAAAGGCCCACAUGUCGGGAUUACAUAGAGAUAUCAACGCACCGCGCAAUUUUCUACCAUCUAGAAGACUCGAGAAGCCAGGGGAACAAAGCGGAGGUCGAAAGGGGCCUGGCCCAGGGUGCCCGCCCCCCUCUGGACUUCAAUCAGGACUCUUUUCACGGACGACGCUCCACCAAUUUAAAGGAUCAAGGAUAACCGUCCAAUCAAUGUCGGUUUGAUCCAAUGGCUCACGUUCACUUGAGGGGACUAUAAAACCAGACCCCCUGGCCCCUAGAGGAGACAAGUUCAUCGUAGAGUUGAGAGGAGCCCUUGAAGGAAUACCUCUCCUCUAAAUAAAAUUUUUUUUAGGCUUAGCAACCAAUGUGAGUAGAAAUAGAUCUUCUAGUUUCUACUAGAUUGAGAGAGAUAGAGUGGAGGUGUAGAUCGGAGAAAGCCUAGCCUGUCGGUGUCUACUCCGAGCUUGUACCUAUAGGAUCAAGUUCUCCUAACCCGAGGCUUGCUCCAAGGAUUCUUGAGUAUUUUGACAUCUAAAUUCUAGUAAGUUCUUGUUUUAUUAUUCUUUUGGUUUAUGAGUUUACUUUAAUCUCUUCGCGUACAGUUUAGAGUAAUCAUCUGUAGCGUAGACGUGGUGUUUGGGCUAGGAUACUCAUAGAUAUUCCCUGAAUAGCUAGACUGUGGUAGUAGCGAGGAACGUGACAUUUCCGAGUUACCUUUGCAGACCAUAUCUCGUUAGCAGGAAGGAUAGGGUUUAUAGGUGCGGGUUGAACAUCCUCUAUGGUGUCUAGAUUCCGUUAGCCUCCCCAAUAGAACAGUAGAUCAUCCUUACCAAGGUUAGAAGGAGAUUACGGUUGUAGUCUUCUCUAUUUAUCACUCACAUCGAGAAACAUUCUUUGUAGCCUAAAGGGUUAGUAG
rnacentral:lncRNA from 1 species